CUCCCAACAGUAACUUUACUCUUUAUUUAACCAUACAUUUAUUUUUUAUUCUUUUCCCAAUUCAUUUAUCUCCAUCUCUUUUGUUCUUGAACAAAAGCUCUCUUCUUUGUUCUUCAUCCACCAUUUUCAAAGCUUGAAUUUAGUUGUUGUAUCUUCUCCAACUAAGAUUGAAUUUAGGAUUUGCAAUUUUCUCGAAUUUC
rnacentral:lncRNA from 1 species